ACCCGUCUAACAUUAUUGAUCUAUUAAAUCUUAUGUUUCCUUUUCAAUUUCAAACCCUAAAUCUUCAUCAUCCAUAAACGACGCUGCAGUACCUGCUUCACUUGAUUUGUUCAAGGGAUUCAUUUAUGUCACAGAUGUGAGUGACUUAUUCUGAACCAACAUCAAAGUGCGAAACACUGGCGAACUCAUAAGAAGACCUGUGGAACGAUUGAUAGUUACACUACUUUGAUUGUUUCAAGUGGUUUCAGAAGAUGAACAUCACAAGAUAUAAAGAAAAGACCCUAAGUCCUAAGAUUGAGAAGAAGAGUGGCUAUGGUGGUGGGAUGAGGCCUGAGGAAUCUCAAGACCAUUGUUGAGUUCUUAGCCGAUGAGCUUAUCAACGCUGCCAAGGGCUCUUCAAACAGGUACCAAUGUUGUCUCUAACCAACGUCACAUUGGAUCUCUUCUCUUUAAUCUCCUAAAUGACACCCUUCUUUAAAAAAGGAUAUCUAGCUCUCUGCUUCGGAAAAUUGAAUUGUUUGUUGUGUUGUUGGGUUCGUUUAACAAUUCAGGUUAUAAGUGUUCAAAAUUGUGAAAUGUGGGGCGUCUUUGUUGUAUGCGCCUCAAUUUCUACAAUUUAUAAAAUAGUCGUUUUCCACUUGAGGCUGAAGGAGAAGAAACUAGAACAACUGUCUCUUGAGUGGAGCGAGGAUGACAAAAGACUUAGCAAUAUUUUUAAUGUUUUUUCUUUUUAUAUAUAAGUAUACAACAGCGUUGGUGUUUUUUUUCAUCUGAAUACGAAGAAUAAAUUAAAGAUUA